CCAUGCAGUCGACGCUGAAGCCGACAGCUUGCUGUUGGUGGAUGAGUGGCGAACGGGUGAGUAACACGUGAGUAACCUGCCCCUGAUUUCGGGAUAAGCCUGGGAAACUGGGUCUAAUACCGGAUACGACCUCCUGACGCAUGUUGGGUGGUGGAAAGUUUUUCGAUCGGGGAUGGGCUCGCGGCCUAUCAGCUUGUUGGUGGGGUAAUGGCCUACCAAGGCGACGACGGGUAGCCGGCCUGAGAGGGCGACCGGCCACACUGGGACUGAGACACGGCCCAGACUCCUACGGGAGGCAGCAGUGGGGAAUAUUGCACAAUGGGGGAAACCCUGAUGCAGCGACGCAGCGUGCGGGAUGACGGCCUUCGGGUUGUAAACCGCUUUCAGCAGGGAAGAAGCGAAAGUGACGGUACCUGCAGAAGAAGUACCGGCUAACUACGUGCCAGCAGCCGCGGUAAUACGUAGGGUACGAGCGUUGUCCGGAAUUAUUGGGCGUAAAGAGCUCGUAGGUGGUUGGUCACGUCUGCUGUGGAAACGCAACGCUUAACGUUGCGCGUGCAGUGGGUACGGGCUGACUAGAGUGCAGUAGGGGAGUCUGGAAUUCCUGGUGUAGCGGUGAAAUGCGCAGAUAUCAGGAGGAACACCGGUGGCGAAGGCGGGACUCUGGGCUGUAACUGACACUGAGGAGCGAAAGCAUGGGGAGCGAACAGGAUUAGAUACCCUGGUAGUCCAUGCCGUAAACGUUGGGCACUAGGUGUGGGGGACAUUCCACGUUCUCCGCGCCGUAGCUAACGCAUUAAGUGCCCCGCCUGGGGAGUACGGUCGCAAGGCUAAAACUCAAAGGAAU
rnacentral:rRNA from 1 species